ensembl:snRNA U1 U1 spliceosomal RNA
AUACUUACUAGACGAGGGAGAUAGCAGGACCAUGAAUGUGGUUUUUCACAGGGUCAUUCUCAUCCAUUCUACUCUCGAUGUGCUGAUCCCUCAAAUGUGCAAUUUCCUCAAAUGUGGAAAAUCUGACUUUUAACUUUUGAUAAUGGGUACUGUGUUUAUACUCUUUCCUG